ACCGCUGCUCCUUCGCUUCUUGAUGUAGGAUCUCUCUAUAUGCAAGCACUGUGUGAGUCUUCCCUUUAAAACUUUGAGCACUGCAUAAAUUCUGCUGGUCAAGAGGCUCAGACUGUUAUUUCAAAAGGGGAUGCAAUCCUGAGGCACAACAGCAGUAAAUGAACGAUGCUCCUCCCAUAGCAACAGAAUUCCACGGAUUACCAUACAGCCAACAUCGCAGCAGGUGAUCCUGGAGCCUGGUGGAUGCAUCCAGCAGAAGGCAGCAUCCCCUCAUCCUGCACUAGGAUUCCUGGCUCAGCACCAGUACCUGGAAAAACGAACCUCACAGCUCGUUAUUCCUACACCAUGGUGUUACGCCUGAUGCCUAAUGUCAAAGAUCUACUUCAUUGCACUGCCACAAGGUCUGAUCUUUCUUGGGAAACGGCAGUUCAGACAUUUAG